AUGGGACUUACGCCUUUAGACUGUUAAUUGUAGUAUCCAGUUCCUCAAAAUUCAACGCUGAUAACGAUACAAAAGCCAAGGCUGUGCUGCGUGCAUGUCAGGCACGCAAAACAAAAGAGAGAACAAACGAAACGUAAAUAUGUAUGUAUAGAGGCAGCAAAAGCAAAAGAGAGAAGGUGAGAUAAGCUCGGCUCUCUCGCUUUCAUAGCUUAGCUUUGCUCUCUGCACUUACCGAACUCGACAUCGGUAGCAUCCUGCGUUGUAUUUGGCGUACUAGUCGUUUCGUCGUUUAAAACCGAAGUGUGCAGAGCAACAGCGUCGACUGCUGCCGACGGCGGCGGCGAGUGGUGAGAAGUUGCUGCGGUAGAGAGAGAGAAAGAGAGAGUUAGAAGAAAUCCAUACAAAACUCUUUUGAUUGCUGUUAACAGUUAUUGUGUGUGUAUGUAUGUAUGUAUGCCUAAGCUUCUUUUUAUAGCAAAUUCUUAGCCUUCACUCAGGUACUCACGUUGCGCACAAUCGAAAUCCAUUAAAACGUUGAUCACAAUUUGAAACUUGAAAUUUUCAUUAAAACUAGAUUGUGCACCUGGUAGCGGCUCCAUUUUAAAAAUGUUUGUUUUGUAAA